GCAGCCGCGGUAAUACGUAGGGGGCAAGCGUUAUCCGGAUUUACUGGGUGUAAAGGGAGCGUAGGCGGCAUGGCAAGUCAGAAGUGAAAAUCCGGGGCUCAACCCCGGAACUGCUUUUGAAACUGUCAGGCUUGAGUGUCGGAGAGGUAAGUGGAAUUCCUAGUGUAGCGGUGAAAUGCGUAGAUAUUAGGAGGAACACCAGUGGCGAAGGCGGCUUACUGGACGAUAACUGACGCUGAGGCUCGAAAGCGUGGGGAGCAAACAGGAUUAGAUACCCC
rnacentral:rRNA from 1 species